CAGCAGCCACGGUAAUACGAGGGGUGCAAGCGUUAUUCGGAUUGAUUGGGUGUAAAGGGUGUGCAGACGGCUUAUUAAGUCACUUGUUAAAUUCUUCGGCCUAACUGAAGGUCUGCAAGUGAUACUGAUGAGCUAGAGGGUGGAAGAGAGAAGUGGAAUUCUCGGAGUAGCGGUAAAAUGCGUAGAUCUCGAGAGGAACACCAAUGGCGAAGGCAGCUUCUUGGUCCAUUCCUGACGUUCAUACACGAAAGCGUGGGGAGCAAAUGGGAUUAGAUACCCCGGUAGUCCCUGUCUCUUAUAC
rnacentral:rRNA from 1 species